AGCGAACGUUUGCGGCGGGCUUAACACAUGCAAGUCGAACGGGCUGUUCCUUCGGGGGCAGUCAGUGGCGCACGGGUGCGUAACACGUAGGUAAUCAACCCUCUGGUUGGGGAUAACACUUCGAAAGGAGUGCUAAUACCCGGUAUGGCGCAGCGGUCUUCGGAUCGCGGCGAGAAAGACCCGCAAGGGUUGCCAGAGGACGAGCCUGCGGCCCAUCAGCUAGUUGGCGAGGUAACGGCUCACCAAGGCGAAGACGGGUAGCUGGUCUGAGAGGAUGAUCAGCCACACUGGAACUGAGACACGGUCCAGACUCCUACGGGAGGCAGCAGUGGGGAAUAUUGGACAAUGGGCGAAAGCCUGAUCCAGCAAUGCCGCGUGAGUGAUGAAGGCCUUAGGGUUGUAAAGCUCUUUUACCAGGGAUGAUAAUGACAGUACCUGGAGAAUAAGCUCCGGCUAACUCCGUGCCAGCAGCCGCGGUAAAGUGUGACUGUC
rnacentral:rRNA from 1 species